CCCGCACAAGCGGUGGAGCAUGUGGUUUAAUUCGAAGCAACGCGAAGAACCUUACCAGGUCUUGACAUCCCUGACAACCCGAGAGAUCGGGCGUUCCCCCUUCGGGGGGACAGGGUGACAGGUGGUGCAUGGUUGUCGUCAGCUCGUGUCGUGAGAUGUUGGGUUAAGUCCCGCAACGAGCGCAACCCUCGACCUUAGUUGCCAGCAUUCAGUUGGGCACUCUAAGGUGACUGCCGGCUAAAAGUCGGAGGAAGGUGGGAAUGACGUCAAAUCAUCAUGCCCCUUAUGACCUGGGCUACACACGUGCUACAAUGGGCGGUACAAAGGGUCGCGAACCCGCGAGGGGGAGCCAAUCCCAAAAAGCCGCUCUCAGUUCGGAUUGCAGGCUGCAACUCGCCUGCAUGAAGCCGGAAUCGCUAGUAAUCGCGGAUCAGCACGCCGCGGUGAAUACGUUCCCGGGCCUU
rnacentral:rRNA from 1 species